ACGCUAGCGGCAGGCCCUAUACAUGCAAGUCGAGGGGCAGCAUUUACUUCGGUAAAUGGCGACCGGCGCACGGGUGAGUAACGCGUAUGCAACCUACCUUUAACUGGGGCAUAGCUCGAGGAAACUCGAAUUAAUUCCCCAUAGUACAUUAUAAUAUCUCAUGAUAUAAAUGUUAAAGAUUUAUCGGUUAAAGAUGGGCAUGCGUCUGAUUAGUUUGUUGGUAAGGUAACGGCUUACCAAGACUACGAUCAGUAGGGGGUCU
rnacentral:rRNA from 1 species